AGAUUUUGAUCAUGGCUCAAAUUGAACGCUGGCGGCUUGCCUUACACAUGCAAGUCGAACGGCAGCGCGGGGCGACCUGCCGGCGAGUGGCGAACGGGCGAGUAAUAUAUCGAACCGUACCCUGGAGUGGGGGAUAACGUACCGAAAGUUACCCUAAUACCGCAUACAAUCCAAGGAUGAAAGCAGGGGAUCGCAAGACCUUGUGCUCCUGGAGCGGCCGAUAUCUGAUUAGCUAGUUGGUGGGGUAAAGGCCUACCAAGGCAACAAUCAGUAGCUGGUCUGAGAGGACGACCAGCCACACUGGAACUGAGACACGGUCCAAACUCCUACGGGAGGCAGCAGUGGGGAAUUUUGGACAAUGGGGGCAACCCUGAUCCACCAAUGCCGCGUGAGUGAAGAAGGCCUUCGGGUUGUAAAGUUCUUUUGUCAGGAAAGAAACGGCUGUGG
rnacentral:rRNA from 1 species